rnacentral:rRNA from 1 species
UACGGGGGGAGCAAGCGUUGUUCGGAUUUACUGGGCGUAAAGGGCGCGUAGGCGGCCACUGCAAGUCGGUUGUGAAAUCUCCGGGCUUAACCCGGAAAGGUCAACCGAUACUGCAGGGCUAGAGUGCAGAAGGGGCAACUGGAAUUCUCGGUGUAGCGGUGAAAUGCGUAGAUAUCGAGAGGAACACCUGCGGCGAAGGCGGGUUGCUGGGCUGACACUGACGCUGAAGCGCGAAAGCUAGGGGGAGCGAACGGG